AGAGUGUAAACCUCUAUGCUGCAGGUAGAGGUGAUAAAGAAAGCAUAUCAGCAAGGAGAGACAGACUUUGAUGAUGAUGAGGAGAACGCAGAAGAACAUGCUGCUUCACCUCGGAAUGUCGGCCACAACAUCUACAUUCUUGCACAUCAGCUGUCUCGUCACAAUAAGGAGCUGCAGGUGCUGCUGAAGCCAACAGGAGACGAUCAGGCUCUAGAGUUUUACACAGAACACACGGCACAGAUUGAGAUUGUCCGUCAGGACCGCACCAUGGAGCAGAUUGUGUUUCCGGUCCCUCAUAUCUGCUCAUUCCUGACGAACGAGUCAAAGCUCCGUGUGUAUUAUAGCACAGAGCGAGAUGAGCAGGGCAGCAAAAUCAACGACUUCUUCCUCAGAGCAGACGAUCUUUACAGCGAGAUGAGGUGGCAGAAAAAACUUCGAGCUCAGCCCGUGUUGUAUUGGUGCAGUAGGAACAUGUCGUUCUGGAGUAACGUGUCAUUUAACCUGGCCGUGCUGAUUAACGUGUUGGUGGCGUUUUUCUACCCAUUGGAAAGCGUGAGCGAUAGUCACUUGGAGCCCUCAGUGUCUCUGUUAUUGUGGGGGUGUGUGUUGGGUUCAUUGGUCUUUGUUUUACUGUGGCCCAGUCCGAAUGCAGUGAGGGUUCUCGUUAUCUCCUCUGUCCUGCGCCUUGGCUUCUCAUUAGGUCUCCAUCACAUGCUUUCCCUACUGGGAGCCUUUAACGUGUGUAAUAAGAUUGUGUUCCUGUUGAGCUUUGUGGGAAACAGAGGGACGUUUACUCGUGGUUACAGAGCAAUGGUGAUGGACAGAGAGUUCCUCUUUCACCUGCUUUAUCUUCUUAUCUGUACACUGGGUCUUUUUGGACACGUCUUCUUCUACAGCUUACUGUUGUUUGACCUGGUGAACAGAGAGGAAACGUUGCUGAACGUGAUUAAAAGUGUGACGAGAAAUGGUCGCUCCAUCGUCCUCACUGCUGUCCUGGGUCUCAUCCUGGUUUAUCUCUUCUCCAUUGUGGGCUACAUCUUCUUCAAAGACGACUUUAUACUGGAGGUGGACCGUAUCACUAACACUUCUCUGGAGGAGGAGGUGAAUCAGGUGAACACUUUCCUGCCCGAGGGUUCAUGUGUGUUAGAGAAUGGGAUGUGUGUAUCGAUGGAUUCAGAAGAAGAAGAAGUUGAGAGAGCGUGUGAUUCUUUGUGGAUGUGUAUGAUCACUGUUCUGAGUCACGGCCUGAGGAGUGGAGGAGGAGUUGGAGACGUCCUGCGCAAACCUUCUAAAGAGGAGCCUCUGUUUGCUGCGAGAGUGAUUUAUGACCUGUUGUUCUUCUUCCUCGUUAUCAUCAUCGUGUUGAAUUUGAUCUUUGGUGUCAUCAUCGACACAUUUGCUGACCUCAGGAGUGAAAAACAAAGAAAAGAAGAAGUGCUAAAGACCACCUGUUUUAUAUGUGGGUUGGAAAGAGAUAAGUUUGACAACAAGACGGUGACAUUUGAGGAGCACAUUAAAGAGGAACACAACCUCUGGCACUACCUUUACUUCAUCGUGCUGGUGCGAGUGAAAGACUCGACGGAGUACACUGGGCCCGAGAGCUACGUCGCUCAGAUGAUUAAGACAGGAACACAAUCUGGACUGGUUCCCCCGGAUGAGAGCAAUGUCUCUGGUCAGCAGCGAUUCAGAAGGAGAGCAAAAUGAACUUCGCUCCCUGCAGGACAAACUCGACUCCACCAUGAGACUCGUCACCAACCUGACCAAUCAGCUCACAGAGCUCAAAGAGCAGAUGACUGAGCAAAGGAAGCACAAGCAGCGGAUUGGACUACUGGGAAACCCCGCCCACCUUAAUAUAAACCCACAGCAGCCUGCCUGAGGAUGUGUGUGUGUGUGUGUGUGUGUGUCUCUUUUAAACCAUAAUUCUGUUCUUCGUGCUAAACCUCGUCAUGAGAACCAUGCAGAUGUGAAAGAUCAGAGUUACAGCUGCAUUUCUAAACAACCUGCAGUACACUGAUGUUUAUGCAGGAGGAGAACGUUGAAGAUGAAGAUGAUGAAGGGUAUGUGAGCAUCUCUGAGCUGAAAUGUGAAAUCAUGACUGAAAGGUUAAAGUUUGUGUGUCAAUAAAGAGGCUCACUGGAGAGAGAGUGUGUGUGUGUGUGUGUGUGUGUGUGUGUGUGUGUGUGUGUGUGUGUGUGUGUGUGUGUGUGUGUGUGUGAUCUCACUCUGCUUUCUCCUGACUCAUGUAGAACUUUGCAGAUAUUUCACUUGGACACUGUAAUGAACCUGAUUGAGGUUUUGCACUGGUUUUAUCACUUAGUGUUAAUGACAUGAGUGUAAUUUUAGUGAUGUUUAAUUUGAUUAAAAUGAUUUAUCUGUGUGUGUGUGUGUGUGUGUGUGUGUGUGUUGUAGAACACCAGAAUCUUUCCAUCAGUAAGCGUGUAAACAGUUAAAUCAUAUUAUAUAAAUGAUCUGAUGCUUACGCUGUUUCAGUGAAGCGUCACGUGUUUGUUAGAAACUUUUUAUUCUCAUGUUGUAAUAAAUUUUAUCUUAAACACAAAAAAAACUAAAACAGUUUACGCUUCACAUGGGUUUCACUUUAUCAAGAGCGAUGAAGUUUUGUGCGUUUAACACCAAUGAUGUACAAAAUAAGAGAAAACUAACAAUAAAUACCAAUGAGAAAUGUGUAGACUGCA